UCAAUCAGGCAUUCCAUCCGUCAGUCAGUCAGUCAGUUAACCCCACUUGAAAGCACGUCCUACACACACACACACACACACACACACACACACACACAGCUGACAAGAACCACAUCUGUUGACGACAGGCUUCUCUCUCUCUCUCUCUCUCUCUCUCUCUCUCUCUCUCUCUCUCUCUCUCUCUCUCUCUCUCUCUCUCUCUCUCUCUCUCUCUCUCUCUCUCUCUCUCUCAUCAUCAUCCAUUUUCCCCUCCAUUUACCUUCUCCAUUCCUCCACCUCAAGUAUCCUUAAAUUCUCCACACCUCCUUCUCUCCUCUUCUCCUCCACAUCCUCCUCCUCUCUCCUCCUUGUCCCUCUUUCUUAGACCACGAGGAGGAGGAGGAGAGAUGAGUCUAACCUGGAGGAGGAAAAGGAGAAGGAGGAGGAGGUGAAAGAGGAGAAUGCGAAGAGAAAUAUGAGAGAAAGAAAAAGAAUGGAUAUGUGAGAACUGACUUGAGGGGGAAAAAGAGGAGGAGGAGGAGGAGGAGGAAAGAGAGAGAGGGGGAGGGAGAAUGAAGGGGGAGAAGGAGGAGGAGGAUGGAGGUGAACAGGUGAACAGGUGGGAGAACGCGAAACACACACACACACACACACACACACACACACACACACACACACACACACACACAAGUAGACGGCCCUCAAACCAGCCACCAGUCAGCCCAAUAGCCAGUCAGCCAGUCAGCCAGCGAGCCCCAACCAGCAGCCCUUUCCGUGUGGGUGUGUCUUACGCUUACUGGAAAAAAGAAACGCCUUACCAAAAACUGGAAGCGAAUGAUCGGGAGGAGGAGGAGGAGGAGGAGGCAGGACACUCGUUAUCUGGAUCGACUCUUUGGUGGAUCCUGAGGAAGGUUAGGUUAGGUUUAAUCUCAUUGGUGGAUGCUGGGGAGGGUUAAAUCUCAUUGGUGGAUACUGAGGAAGAGUUAGAUCUUAUUAGUGGAUGCUGAGGAGGGUGAAAUCACAUAGGUGGAUGCUGGGAAGGUCAAAUCUCAUAGGUGGAUGCUGGGGUUGGUCAAUUCUCAUAAGUGGAUGCUGGGAAGGUCAAAUCUCAUAGGUGGAUGCUGGGGAAGGUCAAAUCUCAUAGGUGGAUGCUGGGGAAGGUCAAAUCUCAUAGGUGGAUGCUGGGGAGGUCAAAUCUCAGGUGGAUGCUGGGGUUGAUCAAUUCUCAUAAGUGGAUGCUGGGAAGGUCAAAUCUCAUAGGUAGGUGGAUGCUGGAGUAGCCUGGAGGGGGGGCUUAAUUACCAAGUUUAAGCGAAUAGAGUAAAAUUUGGGUUCAGGCAAGACAGGUCGACCAACUGGAAGUGAGCGAGAACAAAGAUGAACCGUUGUGAUUGAAAGGGAGACGUUUAUCAUUAACCUGCGAGAGUCAGAAGGUAACGACACGUGACUUGGCUGCCUCGUGCCUAGUGACAGGGAGAGAGAGAGAGAGAGAGAGAGGGAAGGGAGGAGAAGAGACAGGGGGAUGGGAUGGUUUGAGAGGUGGUGAUGAAAGUUCGUGGUGUGAUGCUGGUAGUGGUGGUGAAGGGAGGGAAAAGGGGUAGGUGAUGGUGGUGGUGGUGGUGGUGGUGAUGGUGGUGGUGUCUGUGUGCAGUUCGGUGAAGUGAAAAAAAGAUUGCGUCAGAAGAAUAAGGAAUACGAUAUGGAAGGUGAGGUUAGACAAGGACAUAAGUAAGUUGAGUUGGAAGCAUACAAGAGAGAGCUACGCGUGGCCUCCGUGCUCAUCUCCGUCACAGUAGCCCUUGAGUCCGUGGUAGGUAAAGGGAGGCAUAAGGGACUACAAAAAGCCAGCCAGUUAGCUUACACGUGAUAGCUUUUAAGAACCAGUUACUCCCCGGUCAUCCUUGCCGUCCAAAAAAGUUCCUAAUCUCCAUUUGAAACCCUUGAUCGAAUUUGCAUUAACUCCAAAUCCACUUAAAAGCCAUACCACGCAUUCAUUUACCUUAUUCGUUAACCAGGCCACUUGAUAUGUAAACCACCUUCCCCAUUAGUAGUGAAAAUUGAUCAAGUCGUGUUUGGAAAAUGAGGGAAGUUAAAUUAUUAUGUUAUGUGGAAAAUGAGACAAAAUUAAUCGAGUCAAAUGGAAAAGGGAGAUCGUUAAUUGGAUCGAAUCGUGUAGCGAGUGUGGAACGUGUUACUUUACCUUCAUAAAAUUGGUUAAACCGUAUGGAAAAUGAACGUAAAAUUGAUUGUGUGAAAAAUAAGGAACGUAAAAUUGAUCAAGUCUUACGGAAAAUGAGGAGUAAAAUUGAUCGUGUGAAAAAUAAGGAACGUAAAAUUGAUUAAGUCUUACGGAAAAGGAGGAGUAAAAUUGAUCGAAUCGUGUAGGAAAUGAACGUAAAAUUGAUCAUGAAUCGUAUGGAAGAUGUGGAACGGAAAAUUGAUCAAGAAUGGAAAAUGGGAAACGUAAAGCUGAUCAAGUGUAGAGAAUGAAGAACCUAAAUUGAGCGAACGUGUAGGAAAUGAACGUAAAAUUGAUGAAAUCGUAUGGAAGAUGAGGAACGGAAAAUUGAUCAAGAAUGGAAAAUGGGAAACGUAAAGCUGAUCAAGUUUAUAAAAUGAAGAACCUAAAUCUGAUCGAAUCGUGUAGGAAAUGAACGUAAAAUUGAUGAAAUCGCAUGGAAAAUGAGGAACGGAAUACUGAUAUAAAAAAAGAUGAGUGUAAGAUUGAUUAAAUUGUAUGGAAUUUGAGGAACGUAAGAUUGAUCAAGUAUGGAAAAUGAAGAACCUAAAAAACUAAUCGAAUAUCACGUAUCAGAAGAGGCAUGUAAAAUUAAAGAAGUAUAGCCAAUCAGCAACGCGUAACCAUAGAAAACGAAAGAACCGGAUGAAAGAAGGAAAAUGGGCUACGUGGUGGUAGAAGUUAGGGAAAGUACGGCUGGUCAAAUAUGUAUCAAAAGAGGAACGCGAAAUUAAACAAGUAUGACCAAUAAAGAACGCGUAACCAUAGAAAACGAAAGAACCGGAUGAAAGAAAGAAAAUGGGCUAUGUGGUGGUAGAAGUUAGAGAAAGUACGGCUGGUCAAAUAUGUAUCAAAAGAGGAACGCAAAAUUAAACAAGUAUGACCAAUAAAGAACGCGUAACUAUAGAAAACGAGAGAACCGGGUGAAAGAAGGAGAAUGGGCUUUGUGGUAGUAGUAGUAGUAGUAGUAGUAGUAGUAGUAGUGGAGGUGGUGGUGGGCACAGCUAGAAUGAAGGUCGUUCAGAACACACACAACUUGCACAAGAACGAGCCGAGAAUGCGUUGGAGGAAGUGUAACAAGCGGGAAAUAUUGCGUGUCCCUUGUAUACCUUGGCAGGGCGGUGAUGGGUGGGGGAGGGCGGGGCUAGGGAGCAAUUUGGAAGGUAUACUAAAGGAGAAAAUAUGUGCGUGGGGUAACGGUGGCGGUGGCUAUGGCGGCAGGGUGGCGGGAUUGGUAUGGCAGUGGUCUUGCUGUCUUGUUCCCCAGCCAGACACCCUCUCCCCCCCACCCCCCAUCCUCCCCAUCCCCCUCACCCCCCUCAAAACCCGCCCCAGGCCAACUGCCGGCGCGGGGUGGCGGCGGCGGUGGUGUGUGGGUUGCCUUCUUAACUCAUGCCAUGUUGCAGCGUCUGGGAGAUUUCCAGUUUUCUCUCUCCCACUCAUGAAGUUCCCUCCCUCCCUCCCGUCUCCCUCUUUCUCUCUCCUUUCAGUCUCUCUCUCCUCCUCAAUUAUUUUCGUUCUUUCCUCAUUUCUCCGUAUAACACUUUCAUCAUCUCAUUCAUUUUCGUUUUUUUCCUUCCUUUCACCACCUAACGCUUUCAUAUUCUCUCUCUCUCUCUCUCUCUCUCUCUCUCUCUCUCUCUCUCUCUCUCUCUCUCUCUCUCUCUCUCUCUCUCUCUCUCAUUUAUAUUCGUUCUUUUCUCAUUUCUCCGUAUAACGCUUUCAUCGUCUCAUUCAUUUUCGUUGUUUUUUUCUUCCUUUCUCCAUCUAACGCUUUCAUAUUCUCUCUCUCUCUCUCUCUCUCUCUCUCUCUCUCUCUCUCUUUUGCGUCACACCCUCCUCGUCCACUCUAGACUCAACAAACAGUUAUAGAACAUCAGUCAGUCAAGCAUUCAAUUCACAUGCAGUCAUUCCUUUCCCUCCCUCCCCUGUAUUCCUCCCUCCCUCCUUCCCUCUACUUGCUGUCUACUGUUCCCUCUUCCCUGUUUGUUUGUCUGUAUGGCCACCUUUUCCUUCCUCCUUCCCUAACCUACAUCAACAAAUUUCUCCCUUCCCAGUUUUCCUCCCUCCCUCCCUAACCUACAUCAACAAAUUUCUCCCUUCCCAGUUUUCCUACCUGCCUCCCUGUCAUCUGUUCGUAUACUUGCUGUCUUUCGUUUCCUCUUCCCUGUCUGUCUGUCUGUAUGUGGUCAACCUUUUCCUUUCUUCCCUCCCUCUCCCUCUCUCUCACUUUCUAACCUCCCUCCACCAGUCACUUGCUCCCUUCCCUGUUUUCCUCCCUCCCUCCCUGUCAAGUGUUCCUAUACGUGCUUUUUACCGUCUCUUCCUGUCUGCCUGUCUGUGGUCACCUUUCCCUGUCUUCCCUCCCUCUCCCUCUCCCUCCUUCUCCCUUCCUAACCUUCACCAGUCAAUUGCUCCCUUCCCUGUUUUCCUCCCUCCCUCUCUGUCAUGUGUUCCUAUACGUGCCUUUUACCGUCUCUUCCUGUCUGUCUGUCUGCUUUCACCUUUUCCUGUCUACCCAUUCUCCCUACACCCCCUUCCCUGUUGAGUCCUCCUGUCUCUGUAUUCCCCCUUCCCUGUCUGUCUGUAUAUGACCAGUUCCCGUCUACCCUCACCCCCUCAUACCUCCCUCUCCCUCCCUCCUUCACCCCGCUACCCACCAGUUGAUUGCCCGCCCCGCCCGUCCGUCGAGCGCGCAAAGAGCACCUGGUUGGCAUUGAACACCUGAGUUGCGUCCCGUCAGCAGCCUUAUACUUCGCCGCAAUGUUGUGUAUCCUUUUCCUGCUUCACGUAUACCAUGGCCCUCCCUCAUCCUCGACCCUCUAACACCCCGCUCUCCACUUUAAUUUUUUCAAGGGUAUAAUAAGUAGAGGAAGUGGGAUAGUGGCGAAGAUAUAGGUUAUUCGUUUUAUCGGUUGAGGGUCAUAUUUUUGUUUAUGUUUUGUUUCUUUAGGUUUUCAUUCGUCUGUUGCUUGAUUCAAUGCUCUAUACUCCGUCAUAUAGGUUGAGGAUCAUGUCAUCUAUAUUUUUGUUUGUGUUUCUUCCUCUUUUAUUCAAUUUAUUCGUUUUAUAGGUUGAACACGUCUUAUUUUUGUUUUUCUUUUGUUUCUUUAGGUUUUCGUUCGUCUAUUGCUUGAUCCAAUGCUCUAUAUUCCGUCUUAUUGGCUGAGGAUCAUGUCAUUUAUAUUUGCGUUCAUGUUAUUUGGUCUUUUUCCGUCUGUUUCAAUUUAUCAGACUGUAAUUACUUGUUUUUUUUUUAAUAGAAUGGUGACUUUUUUGCUCUCUCUCUCUCUC